ensembl:lncRNA
ACAAACUCCAUCGAGCAGGCUGCUGAGGACCCGGGGCAGGAGGAAGUGGUGCAGCAGUGCAUGGCCAACCAGAGCUGGCUGGACGCCCUCUUCGGCUCCUGGAUCGAGCUGCUCACGCUCAGCACCAAAGUCUGAGUCGACCAGAGACGGACGGCGAGAGAGGGCGAGAGAGAGCAUCGACUAAAGCGAGAGGAUUUUUAAAAAAAAACUAAAAGACGAUGCAAAGAGAUGGAUCCUACUGUACAGACCCCCCCCCCCCGACCCGCUUCAAGGCUCUUAGGAGCUGAGGAUGGAUUUUUAAGGCCCUUGACGGACACCAGACACUAGCAGGUCCAUUCAUGUGACCUCAGACACUGGCCUCUGCUCUUUUUCUUGUUACUGAUCACUGACUAAAGAAAUGUCUUACUUUGUGAAAGGGGGGGGGACCCCUACAGGAUCAGGGGUCACUGGCUGGGUGGAGAGGGUUUGUCCCUUCAGGGGACAGUGUGGGGGGGGGGGGGGGGGUGUGAAAGGACAAAGAAGAGCAGCCCUAACGCCAAGUCAACGGAGGAGCCACUGACGUCUUGUUACCUUUUGUGUCAUGAAGAAAAUAGUUCAAAAGAGAAACUAUUACCACUUAGUUUUUACAUAAAUUAUUUUUUUGAAGACUAACAUCCGCUGUUGGCUUUUGAACAGAGUGGAAGAGGGUGAGAAUGCUUUUUAAACCGCGUGGAGAGCGUGCCGUGCGCACAGUGAACACUGACUCGUCCACGGAUAGAAACAUGAAGCGUGUUCGUAGACUCUCUCUCUCUCAUCCUGGGCAGCGCCUGUCCGCUGUGUGGAUCAGUAUACAGCCGUCACCCACACAGCCGAGCCGUCUUCCCCUCUAUUCAAAAGAACGGACGCCGAGACUGAAGCGUUGUAUCAAAUACAGUGGGUGUAAAGUAACAAGGUCAAAAGAAAAAAAAAAGAAGAGUGGGGAACAUCUAUUUGAAACUUAACAUUGUCGUGCUUCAGUUCAAUCAUCCGUCAUGCAGGUGCAAAGAAAAAGAAGUAAACUUUCCAUUUCCCAUGUGGGAAGAAGGAGUAUAAAUACGUAAUAUUUAAAGAGGAAAUAGUCAUUUCAUUUUUAUCAUUUUGAUGUUUGUGCAUACUAUGACUUAUUUUGAAAACAAUCUAAUUUUCCAUAAAAAAAAGGAAAAAAAGGCUUGUAAAUAUUGUACAGUUCUUGAUGAAAUUCUUUGUCCUUCUGUACAUUAACUCUCCUGUAUUUGAGAAACAAAUAAAAUCUGCAAAGAACAAA